rnacentral:tRNA from 1 species
GCCGGUGUAGCUCAGCUGGUAGAGCAGUCGCUUCGUAAGCGAGAGGUCGGGGGUUCAAUUCCCUCCACCGGCACCA